AUGUCCUGCAGCACAGUCCGGGCGAGCGGAGAGAAGACAGCGGAGCUGCAGACAGGCAGCGGGGCUGCACGCGCGGCGCGGCGCGGCGUGGCGCUGCGCCCGGACCAGAGGCGCGGCUGUCGGCUGGAGAGCGCGCGGACUACCGGAGCUAUGGAGCGCAGCUGUGCGCGGAUGGGAGCCGGCGCCGGGAGCGCUAAACCCAGACUGACCAACGCCGCCUGUUCGGAUGAAGAGAAAGUCGGAUAUAGAGGAGUUAGGGACGAGCAUCCUGUUUAGAAUUUCUGCCGAGGAAGACGAGAAGAGGACAACUCCCAAAACUGGCAUGCCCACGCGGAUGGCCCCGUGAUGCCAAACUUUGUUGCCAGUUUCCUAAAAAGUGGGGAAGAUUUUUCCAACAAAAUACUCAACAGCAGGUAUAGCCUGUCUCCUCUUCACUCAAAAAAAGGAAAUAACCAAACAUUAAACUCUACAAAAAUGUAACU
rnacentral:lncRNA from 1 species